AACGAACGCUGGCGGCAUGCCUAACACAUGCAAGUCGAACGAAACCUUCGGGUCUAGUUGCGCACGGGUGCGUAACGCGUGGGAACCUGCCCUUAGGUUCGGAAUAACUCCCCGAAAGGGGUGCUAAUACCGGAUAAUGUCUUCGGACCAAAGAUUUAUCGCCUUUGGAUGGGCCCGCGUUGGAUUAGCUAGUUGGUAGGGUAAAAGCCUACCAAGGCGAGGAUCCAUAGCUGGUCUGAGAGGAUGAUCAGCAACACUGGGACUGAGACACGGACCAGACUCGUACGGGAGGCAGCAGUGGGGAAUAUUGGACAAGGGGCGAAAGCCUGAUCCAGCAAUGCCGGGUGAGUGAUGAAGGCCUUAGGGUUGUAAAGCUCUUUUAGCCGGGAUGAUAAUGACAGUACCGGGAGAAUAAGCUCCGGCUAACUCCGUG
rnacentral:rRNA from 1 species